rnacentral:rRNA from 1 species
AUUGAACGCUGGCGGCAGGCCUAACACAUGCAAGUCGAGCGGAUGAGUGGAGCUUGCUCCAUGAUUCAGCGGCGGACGGGUGAGUAAUGCCUAGGAAUCUGCCUGGUAGCGGGGGACAACGUUUCGAAAGGAACGAUAAUACCUCAUACGUCCUACGGGAGAAAGUGAGGGAACUUCGGACGUCACGCUAUCAGAUGAGCCUAUGUCGGAUUAGCUAGAUGGUGAGGUAAAGUCUCACCAAGGCGACGAUCCGUAACUGGUCUGAGAGGAUGAUCAGUCACACUGGAACUGAGACACGGUCCAGACUCCUCCGGGAGGCAGCAGUGGGGAAUAUUGGACAAUGGGCGAAAGCCUGAUCCAGCCAUGCCGCGUGUGUGAAGAAGGUCUUCGGAUUGUAAAACACUUUAAGUUGGGAGGAAGGGCAGUAAGUUAAUACCUUGCUGUUUUGACGUUACCAACAGAAUAAGCACCGGCUAACUUCGUGCCAGCCGCCGCCGUAAUAC